CAGUAGCCGCGGGAAUACGUAGGUGGCAAGCGUUGUCCGGAAUUAUUGGGCGUAAAGGGCUCGCAGGCGGUUUCUUAAGUCUGAUGUGAAAGCCCCCGGCUCAACCGGGGAGGGUCAUUGGAAACUGGGAAACUUGAGUGCAGAAGAGGAGAGUGAAAUUCCACGUGUAGCGGUGAAAUGCGUAGAGAUGUGGAGGAACACCAGUGGCGAAGGCGGCUCUCUGGACCAUCUCUGACGCUGAUGCACGAAAGCUAGGGGAGCAAACAGGAUUAGAUACCCCAGUAGUCCCUGUCUCUUAUAC
rnacentral:rRNA from 1 species